AUGGAAGGUGAAAUUGAGAAAUUCAUUAAGGUUUCUCUCUAUCUCCCCAAUUCUCUACCUCUUCAUCACCCUUCCUCUAAAUCUCUAUUCCUUUCACCUUGGUGGCCCCACAAUCUUCUUCCUUGUAUGGCUUUCAACUUUCAAACUCAUUCUUUUCUCCUUCAAUCAACCUCCUCUUUUCCCUCUCCCAAACACAAUCUUCCAUUUCAUUUCCAUUGCAUCACUCCCCAUUAA